AUUGAACGCUGGCGGCAGGCCUAACACAUGCAAGUCGAACGAGUGGCGGACGGGUGAGUAACGUCUGGGAAACUGCCUGAUGGAGGGGGAUAACUAUUGGAAACGGUAGCUAAUACCGCAUACCAUCGGAUGUGCCCAGAUGUGAUUAGCUAGGAGGUGGGGUAAAGGCUCACCUAGGCGACGACCCCUAGCUGGUCUGAGAGGAUAACCGGCCAAACGGGAACGUGAACACGGUCCGAACUCCUACGGGGGGCAGAGGUGGGGAAUAUUGGAAAGUGAGCGCAGGCCGGAUGCGGCAAUGCCGCGUAUAUGAGAAAGGCCUUCGAGUUGAAAACUACUUUCAGCGAGGAGACGUUACCCGCAGAGAAAGCACCGGCUAACUCCGUGCCAGCAGCCGCGGUAAUUC
rnacentral:rRNA from 1 species